AGCGAACGCUGGCGGCAGGCUUAACACAUGCAAGUCGAGCGGGCAUCCUUGUGGUGUCAGCGGCAGACGGGUGAGUAACGCGUGGGAACGUGCCCUUCGGUUCGGAAUAACUCAGGGAAACUUGAGCUAAUACCGGAUACGUGCGAGAGCAGAAAGGUUUAUCUGCCGAAGGAUCGGCCCGCGUCUGAUUAGCUAGUUGGUGAGGUUAUGGCUCACCAAGGCGACGAUCAGUAGCUGGUCUGAGAGGAUGAUCAGCCACACUGGGACUGAGACACGGCCCAGACUCCUACGGGAGGCAGCAGUGGGGAAUAUUGGACAAUGGGGCAACCCUGAUCCAGCCAUGCCGUGUGAGUGAUGACGGCCUUAGGGUUGUAAAGCUCUUUUCUCCGGGACGAUAAUGACGGUACCGGAGGAAUAAGCCCCGGCUAACUUCGUG
rnacentral:rRNA from 1 species